GCACUGCUGAGGAGUCCCAUACUAAGACGAGACGGCCGUCCAGUGC
rfam:Schistosoma mattheei strain Denwood, Zambia genome assembly, scaffold: SMTD_scaffold0001789